CCACAGCCUGUCCUGUGGGCUGCAGAGCCACCACCAGCUGAGCCCUGCUGUGCCAAAACAUGAAAUAGAAGGGCCUUGGUGUCUUCAUGAGGGACAGUCUUGGAGCCCAGAGGGACAUACGGUGCUCAGGAUGCUGAAUCUGGUCUAGUGCCCAAGCCCAGCAAGCUGAGAGCAUUUGCUGGGCUGCUGAGUGAAAGCCCAGCAGGGGCUCCUGCAGCCUGUCAGGGCUGCUCCAUGCCCCCAGCACUGCACCUGCCUGGCCUGCUCAGGACACAGAGUAACUUUCCUCAGGAGCUCACGGUGAAAUCAGCAGCACACAUCA